GGUGCCGCUGCUGUUGUUGUUGCUGCUGCUGCCGCUGCGUCUGGUUGCUGGCUGGGCGGUUGUCAUCCAGGGCUCACAUCCAGACAAAGAUGACUCAAGCAAACAGAUCUUUGGUGAGUAGGCGGGAACGCUUCCAGGGGUUUGGAGAAAGUGAAAUCUCGUCAGCCAAUCAGGAACCCGCCCACAUUCGUCGAUCUCCUGGAGAAGUGUGACGUCAAAACGAAGAAGAAGAAAAGGAAUCGGUGGCAUUCUUCAUCUGGACAAGCUGCAUUGCUCCUUUCACUAGUUCACCAAAUCAAUAAUAAUAUUAACAAUAAUGAUAAUAAUAGCUGGCGACCAAUCCACGGUAUAGUCCGCCUUUCAGUCGAAGUUGGCUGGGAUAGUCUCCAGCUCUCCCGCGACCCUUAUGGCGGGAAAAUGGAUGGAUAAAUUGAUAAUAAUAAUGAUGAUUAUUAUGACUAGUAGUAUUAUUAUGAAAAUCAUAAUAACUAUAUUAUUAAUAAUGAACAUCUAAUAUUAUUAAAAUAAAUGCUUGAAUAAUAAUUAUUGUAAUAUUGUUCAUGUCCAUUAGCCAAUCCGCUUAUCCUCACAAGGGUUGUGAGGAUCUUGGCUUUGUCAAACUAAACAUAAACAAAGAAAAUUUACACAUUGUGUAUUUAAAUGCCCUCUACCUUAAUACUAGCAUUAAUGGAAAAUACAUAUAGACCUGCUACAAAUAGCAUCUCCUGUAUCUGGCGGUAUUAUAAUUUAGGCAACGGCUAUGUGAAAACCAACAGUGCAGCAACACAUGUGCAAAACAAAAAGUUGUGAGGAUGAGGUCGUCAGUACCUAUCCCAGAUAACAUUGGGCAAAAGGCAGACGACACCCUGAACUGGUCGCCAGUCAUUCAAUCGCAGGGCAUAUAUCCACACCAUCACUGAGAGGGAAUUGAUCCCGACCAAAGUCAUACGUGUAUAAUUACACUAUCAGCGUAUCUUUAUUAUAUUGUAUCUUUCCAUUUAUCUGUUUGGAUUUUUACAUUUAUAAUUAGGUACAAGUGGGCACUACAUUUUUAUCACUUGUCUGACUGCACCACCUAUUGGUAAGAGUCGUUACUCAAACAAAGGAUUGGAAAACAAAUUUUAAACGUGCUACAAAUACAUAUCAUUUUGAUUUAAGAAAAGGACAACGUGUAUUUUUUUUUUUACAGUAUUUGUUUCUGUAAAUAUAAAAUGAAGGAGAGGAACUUUUACUGUUUGCUGUCUUUUGCAAGUAAGCUUUGCUGUCGAUGGAGGGCAGCAUUUGCAAAAGAAUGAGCACGUCAUAUAUGAACCCUGCUGGGCCCCACUUGUUGAGAAAUGAAAUGAAAUCAAAUAAACAUAAGAGCGUAAUAUAGCAGUGCAGUUAGGUUUAGGGAAGGAUACAUAUCGAGUGAUUGUUCAACUGCGCAAAGGGACAUUGAAAUCCCUUCUCUAAUAAAAUCACCACAACUGGAAAAAAGGUGCAAAACUAUGGAAGUAGAUUAGUUCCACCAGGAUUUGAAUUUGAAAUGUAAAGUGAUCGCAUUUUCAAUAGUUUCUACAAUGGAUAGGUUUCCAAUUACGCCAUCUUGUGUGUCAUAGAGAUAAGACAACACGUGUGAUAGGUGAAGCUAAAGUUUUUUUCUAUCGUUAAUUUAUCCGAUUGGUCUAAGGGUGGUGGUGACGUCAUUUGAAAUCUAUCCAUUCGCUGUCUAAAAUUCACCCUCUGUGCCACCAGACAGAACACUCAGCCAAUCGUAGUUACGCUUUCUUAGUCACAUGACUUCACAUACUAUGAAAGCGUAACUGGAUUGGGUGGGUGUUCGGUUGUGACCUGAAGUAACCCUGCCUACUGGUACAGACGGUGAAUUUUAGACAGCGAAUUGUAGCCAAAUUGAAUUAACAUUGAAAAGUUACACUGAAAUACAACUAUUGAAAAUGUGACCACUUUACGUUUCAAAUUCAAAUCCUGGUGGCACUAAUCUACUUCCAUACAAAACAUUGUUUUACGCUUUGUACUCAAGUUUCUAGGGAGUAAGCAGGUCAAUCUCUUAUUUGUUCAGAUUUAAGCUUUUUUUUUUUCUUCCUUUCUCUACCAAUCUGCAAUAAAUGUACUGUGAAUUCAUCUGUUCCAGGACAAAAAAAAUGCAACCUCCACCUCACAAUCAUGUAUUUCAUUUAUCAUCAAUCACCACAUUUGAUGCUCUUUAAACUAUUCAAACCUGAUUUUGCUAGCUAGCUAGUUGCUAAAUAACCCAUUAGCAAGCUAACUGUAACGCACAAGAUGACAAUUUAUUUCCUUGGAUGACCUAUUUUUGUGACUCACAUAAAGAUUCUGCUCUGCCACUGAUCUUGAAUCUCAUCCACCAUGACCAAAAUCUCACACGAUUAAAUGUGAUCUAACAAAAUUCAAGCUUCAUUUGGGUAAAAAUGACAACUGAGAUGAAUGAUUUUUGUCCCUUUCAAAAGCAUGAUUAACAGGCUAAUAAAACAGUUA